rnacentral:lncRNA from 1 species
ACAAGAACCGGGUAACAACUUAUGUGGAUACUAUGUUUGCGAGUAUAUUAUGGCACAAACAAAUAGAAUUCCUGAAGAAUACCUUGUUGAUAUUUGGUAAUGCAAUAAGGAAAUGAUCCGCAAGCGCACGGAUAUCGGUGAGCAUUUCACCCGGGAAGUUAUCCAGAGUUAUCGUAUUUAUAUUUUUACCACUGGGAGAAAGGGUGCAUCUGACUAACCAAAUCUAUUGCUACUACCCCGUUAGGCUACAAAGAAUGUUUCUCGAUGUGAGCGAUGUAUAGAGAAGACUGCAACCGUAGUCUCAUUCUAACCUUGGUAAGGAUGAUCUAUUGUUCUAUUGGGGAGGCUCACGGAAUCUAGACAACACAAAGGAUGUUCGACCCGCACCUAUAAACCUACCCGUCCUGCUAACAAGAUAUGGGAUACAAAGGUAACUCGGAAAUGUCACGUUCCUCGCUACUACCACGGUCCAGCUAGUCAAGGGAUAUCUAUGAGUACCCUAGCCUAAACACCACGUUUACGCUAGCAAUGAUUACUCUAAUACUCAACUGGAAGAGGAUUAAAGUAAACUCAUAAACCAAAGAACAAUAAAACAAGAACUUACUAGAAUUAGAAGUCGAAUUACUGAAGAAUCUUAGAAGCAAGCCUCGGGUUAGGAGACUUGAUCCCGCAGGUACAACUCGGAGUAAACACCGAUAGGCCGGCCUUCCUCCGAUCUACACCUCCACUCUAUCUCUCUCAAUCUAGUAGAAACUAGAAGAUCUAUUUCUACUUACAUUGGUUGCUAAGCCUAAAAACAAAUAUUAUUUAGAGAAGAGGUUUUCCUUCGAGGGCACCCCUCAAUCUCUAUGAUAACUUCUUGUCUCCUCCAGGGGCCAGGGGGUCUCCUUAUAUAGUCCUCCUCCUCUAUGCGUUUUUGGGUCGGUAGGCGAUGUGGUAACAUUAUCCUUGAUCCAUUAGGUCGGUGGAAUAUCGUGUGCGAAGAGAGUCCCGAACGGAGUCUAGGACAGAGCGGGCGCCCUGGGCCUGGCCCCUUUCGGCCUCUCUGCUUUCUUCCCGUGGCUUCUGGAGUCUUCUAGAUGGUAGAAAAUUGCGCGGUGCGUUGAUAUCUCUAUGUAAUCCCGACAUGUGGGCCUUUCUUCCUUAUUUCAUGAUAACCCCCUGCAGAAAUAGACAAACAUCAAAACUCGUGGAAUUCUGUCAGAUAAAACCCUAAGUCUGGGUGUUGGUUGCAUUUGGAUCCUUUUCUUUAUUUAUUUGAUGAUUAUAUUUGGUACUUAAGGAUCGUCAACAAACUCCCCCAAGCUUACCUCUUGCUCGUCCCUGAGCAAGGAUGAACUCAAGAGUUUCUGCAGUGGUUUCAUGCCUUAAAAGUACACACGCAUUCAAGUAAGAUCUCAUCUCUGAGUUAGAAUAAACUGUUAAGACUUAAAACUUACUCAUUUUACCUUUCACCAUGGGGCUUGUAACCGUCACUUGUGUCUUGAGUAGUUAAAAGAUAGAACGGUCAAGUCAAGUGCCAUGUCUCUUAUUCUUGAUCAGCUAUAGCUCUGGAGUUUUUGCUCAGAGAUUCCUUAUAUGACUCUCUCAAAUCUCUCUUUUGUGGUAUUUCUGGAUCCUUACCAGGGCAGUAAUGGUAUAUGCCUUAUCUCAAAGUAUGUGGUAUUUUUGGUAUAAUGCAUAGUGAUAUUACCUUCUCUCUCACCCUACUCUAAUAAGGUUUUGAUAUCUGGAGCUCAUAGGUGGGAGACAGCUAAUACAUACUUACAAGACAUUUAUUGCAUAGUCAAACCAUGGAUCCAGAGAAACAAGUCAAUAAGUCAAAUCAAGAUGUGCAUGUGUGGCGAAUGAAUGGUGUAUGGUGAUGAUGGUGAUAAUAAUGGUGAAAGUCUAAUUCUACUUUUGCUCUUUUGAGGGGAUACAUACCUUUCUUGCACUUGAAGCUUUUUGGGGAGAAUGAGAUGCUCUAUAUUUUCUUUUUCUUUCCUCUCAGGUGGGUAUCUUGUACCCCUAAUUCUACUGUCGAACACUUGUCCAUUUUUACCUCUCGUCUCACUUUUUAUUUUCUUUCGAGGUUCCGGGCACUUGCCCCUUUUUAUUUCCUCGUAUUUUUCUCUUUUUUUUCUUUUCUUUUUUUUACUAGAGCACUCAUCUCCUGAAAUAAUGUAGCAAGUGGUAGUAAGCAAAAUAACUCGAGCAUUUAUUCCACAGGGAAAAACAGAAAUAUUUUUGGCCAUUCUUGCCUGGAUUAGGAGUAGAAUGUUUUUGGGUGAAUGUGGAGAUGGAAAUGAGUGGAUAUAUGUGGAUGGUACUUCCGGAGUAGAAGUAGCAUGUAUGAGUGAACGUGCAAGUGAAUCUUGAUUUUAACCACAUGACAAGCUCCUAAGGGUCUACACAGCUUGACCACACUCAAUGCUCAUAAGCAGUAAAAAGUAAAUGUGUGGCUCAAAGUCUAAUAAUCAUGUAUAUAUGGCUGUGGUAGCAUUUUAAACUCUCAUCAUACAGGAACUCAUCAUGUGAUAUUAAAAUUUUUUUUCAAAGAUAAAAUUCUCCAGAAUUCUAGCAUCUCUAGGAACAGAUAAACAGCAGCUCAACCUUCCCAUAUCAUAUCCGUUAACAACUUAGAUUUUAGAUCAAGUACUAUUCCCACAAGUUCAGGUUUAGAGCAAAUCUUUCAUAACAGUCAUGCCUAAACUUGAGAGAGAUUUUAAUUUUAAGAACUAAUCAUGGCAGAGCAACUAUUCAUCAUUUCCAUGUGAGAGCUUAUCAUGAGGAUUCAUAGCAAACUUUAUUUAUUUAUUUAUUUAGCAAACUAAGCAAAUAUAUAUAUAUAUAAGCACAAAUCUUUAUUUGGGUUUUCAUGAUUAUGCAUCUUUUAUUAUUUGAGUAAAGUAUAAACGCGAGUAGAAACACUUAGCUGGAUAAAUGGGGGUGCUCUCCCCAAGCUGGAUUUUGACGUAAUUUCUUCUGAUGUAGCUAGCACGUGGUGGAGGUGUAUUUGAAAGUCGGCAGCACCCUGAUAGUGAUUAGGAUGCCCUCCGUCUGCUAGUCUUCUUUGAUCCUUGAAUUCUGUGAAGCUCAAAUAGACAACAAAGCUUUGUGGAACUGGUUAAGUGUUAGCAUAAAUAUCUAGCCUUUAUCAUGUUGAGCCUCCUCAAUAAAUGUUACUUAUUUAGCGGGAUCAUGCACUUAUUAUUUUUAUAUUUUUAUUGUAAGAUGAAAACUUAUUUAUUUUAUUUUUAUGCCACCACAGUGAAUGUACUUAUGGGUUUUAUGCCAUGAGCGUACUCACGUGGGGCUUACUAUUUUUUUAACAUUUUUUUACUAGAUAGCAUAAACUUGAUUAACUAAGCAAACUAUAAUUGAAUAAUUGAAAGGAAAAGGAUAACUACCAGGUUUACCUCUUGGCAAGGCGUUCGGUGUUUUUAAGUCCUCCGAACGGGACUCCUUGUGUUUUCAGUCGUCCUGGGAUUCGCUAGGUGGCGUAGUCGGUGAUUCUAGCGGCGCCUCUUCUUCGUGUAUAACUAUCUUCUCUCUCCACACCUGACUCGGUGCUACAGUCUCCUCAGGACAGUUCUGUUCAAGCUAUAUGUUUUCAGACCUUAUCACUUCUCCUUUGUAGUCUACCCAUCCGUCCUUGAUGAUUUGCCUCCUCUGGUUGUGGUUGCGUCGCCUUCUUGUCCUAACCUGCUUAGAGUCUUCAACUAUAUAGUUAUGGUCAGUAAAAUAGUUGCGUACCUUCUCAGAGGGGAAGUACAUGUGGACUUCUCCGGUUCCAAUGUAGAUGAUUGCUUUGAUAGUGUUGAGGAACGGUCUCUUAUUCUUGGUGGGUGGAUCAUACUCGUCUUCUCCCAUGUCAAUGACCUAAAAAUCAUCUGGAGCUGAAUAUAUUGGUUGUAGGGGCAUGGUUCCAUGCAGGAGCUGAUAAGUGACUGCGGCCAUUAUGUUGUCGUCAGAUCCGGUGUCGUAGCGUGUCUUCUGAAAAGAGUAUCCAUUGAUUGCGUACUCGAUGCUUGGAACACCAGGGUCGUCCUUCUUUAUCAAGAAAGGUGACUUGAGUCGACGAUGUUGACCUCUUCCGACAAGGAUCCAAUGUUUUAAGUCUUCUGGACAAGACUUUCCACCAUCUUCAUCCUUUAGGUGCAUCAUUUGAUUAGGUGUGGACCUUGAUGUCUGCACCUCUUGAUACGGUGUCACCCAUGUUCUUCGAUUGCCCAGCAGUUCGAAGUGCGGUGUUGGCAAUAUCCUGCUCAGUGUGUUUGUGCUCAUAGAUCCAGGUCCUUCACUUGGUGGAGUCUAGGAGUUGCAAAACUCCUCCAUAUUUUGCUUGAAGUGUACCUGUUCAUAGAGCCAAGGCAGAGAUCAAGUGCAUGGGUCCUGUUGGUGGAAAACACCAACAGAACCAAAAGUGCAUUUGUUCUUCUCUAACCUUAAGCAUAGUGAGCAAGACAAAGUUGAUGGAUCAUGAGUGUAGCAUUUAAAACAUUUGUUAGAUCAUAUGGCUCAACCUAAUGGAAAGAUAAUCUAUCUAUAUUUAUGUUUUGUUUAUAUCUUCCAAAGAUUGAAUGUGCAACAUAUUAGCUUAUAUGUUUAGGAGCGUGGGAUCACGAAGGUAGUACUAAGAACAAAGAUUAAAGGACUAAACAUGUUGAAUUAAUUGGGUUGAUUAAUUUGGAGCUACAAAUCAUACAUGUUUGUCUCUUUAUUUUAUGUGAACGCUAGAACCAAGGAGAAGCUUAUAAAAGUGAUAGUCAAGUACCUUAAAAUGUUACCUUACUUGAAGAGUGACGGUACAGUAUCACCUUGUGGAAGCUUUCCUUUCUAAGCGGUUGUGCAUCGUGUUUGUGGCACCCUCCAUGAAUCAUCUCUUAUGAGCUACGUCUUUCUUGUGUAAAUUGUUAAACUUCAUAUGUCACUUUCUUCAUCUCCAAUGCGAGUUUAUCUCAGGACUUCCCUGGUUGAUAUUGAAAGUUUUCCUGCAGGGGUUAGUCCAACAAAAUAUCCCAUAUCUACUAUAUCAUACUAUCGGCUCAAAAAUCAACCUAGACACCAUGUCUAAUUUGAUUUAGAAGGGCAUUUUAACCUAAGCACCAUGCUUAAUUUAAAAUCCCUUGGAAGUAAGAUCAUCAUUCAUAAACUAAGCACCAUGCUUAAUUAAGAGAUAAAUGAAACUAUUCCAAACCUAGACAUAUACUAAAGCAAAUAAAGGUAGCAUGAGAGCAUUUAUAGAGAUCUACUUAAGUGGAGAUGAAGUAGUGUAAUUAGUAUUUAACAAAUUAAGCAUGUCUCAAAGGUAAGGACAACCAACAUAGCAACAUGGCAAAUGAUGUUUUUAUGUAAGGUAUUUCCCCAAGCUUGAAUUUUUGCGAAAUUCAAGUUUGGAUGAAUUUAAUUCAAUGUUGUGUGAUGGUUGGUUGGACAUACCUUGUACUUGUCAUUCAUCCCAUCUUCUUGCUCCAAUCCUGGAAAGGUUAGUGGCAAGAAUACCCGAAGGAAUAUUUCUACAAUUAUCUUAAUAUGCUCAAUACACAAGGCAAUGUUGCAAAUAAUUAAAAGUUCAUGUUAAGAUCUGAUAAGUGCUUGUUUUAGAACACUAAGCUUGUCCUUGGGAAACCAUCAAUUUAUGUCGGCGAAGUGGUUUCCCCUCCAACACCUACCUAUAUCAAGAUCAACUCAACGAGAUCUGCAAUAUUUAUUAUAGACAUAUGCAUCGACAACCGCCCUUUUAAAGUUUUUAUAAAUAGAAAGGAAGAGGGGGUUGGAGAUCUCAAAUGUGGUAAGGAUGGAGAGACCAUUUGAUUGGGGAGAUGUUUUAUAUGAGCAAGGACUUGGUAAGGUAUUUAUGAAAUAACUUCCAUGCUCACUGUUGUUUCUCUCAUUCUCAAUCUCCAAGGAUGAUUCUUCAUGAAUGCUUAAAAUUCCUCUAGGAUUGUCUCUCAAGUUUGUUUUAUCCAUCCAUUCAAUGGUGAUAGCACAUGGAUUUUUAAUGCCCUCUAGCCAUUGAUGUUGCUCUUCUCGAUCCUCCUUGUGGUCUUGGUGACUCUUAUGCAUGGGAUGUCUAGAGAGAUUCAUAGGAUCAUCGGGAGGUUCAAGAGAAAGAGCAUAGUAGAAAUUGUUAAGCUCAAGGAUGGGUUGGAUAGCCGAAUCAUGGGAUUGGAAUGUUAGGAAAUCGGCUAUUGAAACUUCCUUUUCUUGUCUGGGAGAUGAUUCCUUCUCUAUCUCUAGGAUAUUUUUAUGAAGACUAGUCCAAGAAGGAUGUCCACAAAUGAAGACAUACCUUCCUUUACUAAUAGAUAAAGAAAGAAAGACUCUACCAAAGGUUAUAUGAUUAAGACCAAUGUGAAAAUAUCGAGAAAAAACAUGGUCUUGUAGGGCUAGGUCUAAACCAGAAUUUAUAGAAAGAUUAAAAGAUUUCCUAGGUGUAGCUAAAAGUGCAUUAUAUUCUUGAUUAAAAGAUAGGACCUCGGCUAUAGAAAAGGGUUGGUUUUGACCUAUUGCAAUCAACUCCGGACACAGAUCAUAAUUAGGGGCAGGACGUGUUGACUCCCAUGGUCUAUGGCUAGUCUCCGAAGGUGCAAAGAAUUUAAUAAUAGGUAUGGAAUUUGAGUUAUCCAUAAAGAUAAAAAUAAAAAGAUAAAAGAAUAAAAGUAUAAAAGCAUAAUACAAGAUAAUAGCAAGACUCAAAGUUAUCUCAGCAAACCGUCUUUCUCCCCGGCAACGGCGCUAGAAAUGCUUGUUGAUAUUUGGUAACGCAAUAAGGAAAUGAUCCGCAAGCGCACGGAUAUCGGUGAGCAUUUCACCCGGGAAGUUAUCCAGAGUUAUCGUAUUUAUAUUUUUACCACUGGGAGAAAGGGUGCAUCUGACUAACCAAAUCUAUUGCUACUACCCCUUUAGGCUACAAAGAAUGUUUCUCGAUGUGAGCGAUGUAUAGAGAAGACUGCAACCGUAGUCUCGUUCUAACCUUGGUAAGGAUGAUCUAUUGUUCUAUUGGGGAGGCUCACGGAAUCUAGACAACACAAAGGAUGUUCGACCCGCACCUAUAAACCUACCCGUCCUGCUAACAAGAUAUGGGAUACAAAGGUAACUUGGAAAUGUCACGUUUCUCGCUACUACCACGGUCCAGCUAGUCAGGGGAUAUCUAUGAGUACCCUAGCCUAAACACCACAUUUACGCUAGCAAUGAUUACUCUAAUACUCAACCGGAAGAGGAUUAAAGUAAACUCAUAAACCAAAGAACAAUAAAACAAGAACUUACUAGAAUUAGAAGUCGAAUUACUGAAGAAUCUUAGAAGCAAGCCUCGGGUUAGGAGACUUGAUCCCGCAGGUAUAACUCGGAGUAAACACCGAUAGGCCGGCCUUCCUCCGAUCUACACCUCCACUCUAUCUCUCUCAAUCUAGUAGAAACUAGAAGAUCUAUUUCUACUUACAUUGGUUGCUAAGCCUAAAAAGAAAUAUUAUUUAGAGAAGAGGUUUUCCUUCGAGGGCACCCCUCAAUCUCUAUGAUAACUUCUUGUCUCCUCCAGGGGCCAGGGGGCAUCCUUAUAUAGUCCUCAUCCUCUAUGCGUUUUUGGGUCGGUAGGCGAUGUGGUACUACAUUAUCCUUGAUCCAUUAGGUCCAUGGAACAUCGUGUGCGAAGAGAGUCCCGAACGGAGUCCAGGACAAGGCGGACGCCCAGGGAAAGAGGGCGGGCGCCCUGGGCCUGGCCCCUUUCGGCCUCUGCUUUCUUCCCGUGGCUUCUGGAGUCUUCUAGAUGGUAGGAAAUUGCGCGGUGCGUUGAUAUCUCUAUGUAAUCCCGACAUAUGGGCCUUUCUUCCUUAUUUCCUGAUAACCCCCUGCAGAAAUAGACAAACACCAAAACUCGUAGAAUUCUGUCAGAUAAAACCCUAAGUCUGGGUGUUGGUUGCAUUUGGAUCCUUUUCUUUAUUUAUUUGAUGAUUAUAUUUGGUACUUAAGGACCGUCAACAUACCUCAGAGCAUGUAACACAUGUCUCUUUUCAUUUUCCCUUGAAUUACUAUAUAUUGAUAAUCUUGAUAUAACUAAUAUCUUCUUUUAAUUUAAAUUGAAGACUAAAUGGUUGAAGCAAAAACUCAUGCAACAUGAAUAACUCCAAGCAAUACAAGAGGCAAUAGCAGGAUUUCUUCAGGAACAAGUCAUAAAUCCAAGCGGUGAGUUCCACUAUAAUCCUAACGAGACGAUGAUUCCAAACAAUGAUGAUCAUUUGUAUGCCCUGUAGAUCAUUGGAUGAUGAAGUACAACUUGUAAUAGGUUUAGAGUACUAACUUUAGAGUACAACUUGUGCAGUAAUAGAUUUAGAGAACAACUUCUAUAUAUAUAUAUAUAUAUAUAUAUAUAUAUAUAUAUAUAUAUAUAUAUAUAUAUAUAUAUAUAUAUAUAUAUAAUAUUAUCUGCAUAUGACAGCAAAGAAUACAUAUUGGAAAACCUAUUAAAUGAAUAAAAAAACUAAAAACAUAAAUGAAAAGAAAAGAAAAAGAAAAAAACCAGGGACCCUUUAGUCCCGGCUGGUAUUACUAGCCGGGACUAAAGAGUGCUGCUGCGUGGCACCGCUAGUAGCACUCUUUAGUCCCGGCUGGUAAUACCAGCCGGGACUAACGGCAGGACUUUAGCCUC